CGCUGCUAUUGUGGACGGAGGAGCAGUCACUGACACGGAAGCUGCCUCCUGUAGGGAGAGAUGGCACUGGCUGCAGCUAGGGGGAGCUCCAGAGCACAGCUCCUCUUCUAGCCAGCCGAGGGAAGCUCUCUGCUCCGUCAGCCUGAUGAUGAAAGCCAAAGACAGAUGAAUCCCACCCUGCCCGUUUUUGUGCGCCCUACCAACCCGCCGUUUUCUGCCUGCCGUACCCCGCCACGCCGCCAGACCCAGCCGUGCGCCGCCGGACCCGUACAUACAAAUUCUGCAGUUAAUGAAUUUACUGAACAGAGUUCACAAUCAAAUAGGGUUUCUUACCACACUGACGAAGAAGACCAUGCAAGAUAGAGAAAAUCCACUGGUGUAUCCAAGGUAUCCUGUUAAUUGCAUAAUUAGUAACAUUAUGAAUUAUUAUCUCAAACAUGUAAUGU